UACGGGGGGGGCAAGCGUUGUUCGGAAUUACUGGGCGUAAAGGGUCUGUAGGUGGCUUGCUAAGUCAGACGUGAAAUCCCUCGGCUUAACCGGGGAACUGCGUCUGAUACUGGCGAGCUUGAGUGCAGGAGAGGAACGCGGAAUUCCAGGUGUAGCGGUGAAAUGCGUAGAUAUCUGGAGGAACACCGGUGGCGAAGGCGGCAUCCUGGACCGGCAUUGACGCUGAGGCGCGAAAGCCAGGGGAGCAAACGGG
rnacentral:rRNA from 1 species